AUUGAACGCUGGCGGCAUGCUAUACACAUGCAAGUCGAACGGUAACAGGUCUUCGGAUGCUGACGAGUGGCGAACGGGUGAGUAAUACAUCGGAACGUGCCUAAUAGUGGGGGAUAACUACUCGAAAGAGUAGCUAAUACCGCAUGAGAUCUACGGAUGAAAGCAGGGGACCUUCGGGCCUUGUGCUACUAGAGCGGCUGAUGGCAGAUUAGGUAGUUGGUGGGGUAAAGGCUUACCAAGCCUGCGAUCUGUAGCUGGUCUGAGAGGACGACCAGCCACACUGGGACUGAGACACGGCCCAGACUCCUACGGGAGGCAGCAGUGGGGAAUUUUGGACAAUGGGCGAAAGCCUGAUCCAGCAAUGCCGCGUGCAGGAUGAAGGCCCUCGGGUUGUAAACUGCUUUUGUACGGAACGAAAAGCCUGGGGCUAAUAUCCCCGGGUCAUGACGGUACCGUAAGAAUAAGCACCGGCUAACUACGUGCCAGCCGCCGCGGUAA
rnacentral:rRNA from 1 species